rnacentral:tRNA from 1 species
AUCGCCAGAGUUCAGCAGCACGUGCUGGGGCGUGAGGAUCCCCAUUCACUGCGUGGCCACCGAGAGCGGAGGUU